rnacentral:rRNA from 1 species
AGAGUUUGAUCAUGGCUCAGGACGAACGCUGGCGGCGCGCUUAACACAUGCAAGUCGAGCGAGAACCUGGCCUUCGGGCCUGGGGAAAGCGGCGAACGGGUGAGUAACACGUGGGUAACCCACCCUUGGUACCGGGAUAGCCCGAGGAAACUCGGAUUAAUACCGGAUGGCCCAACAGCUCUUCGGGGCGGUUGGAAAAGGUAGCUUCGGCCUCCGACCAAGGACGGGCCCGCGGCGGAUUAGCUUGUUGGUGAGGUAACGGCUCACCAAGGCGACGAUCCGUAGCUGGUCUGAGAGGACGAUCAGCCACACUGGGACUGAGACACGGCCCAGACUCCUACGGGAGGCAGCAGUGGGGAAUCUUGCGCAAUGGGCGAAAGCCUGACGCAGCGACGCCGCGUGGGGGAAGAAGGCUUUCGGGUUGUAAACCCCUUUCAGGAAGGACGAAGCCACUCGGGUGAAUAGCCCAGAGGGUGACGGUACUUCCAGAAGAAGCCCCGGCUAACUACGUGCCAGCAGCCGCGGUAAUACGUAGGGGGCAAGCGUUGUCCGGAUUUAUUGGGCGUAAAGAGCGUGUAGGCGGUCAGGUAGGUCCGUUGUGAAAACUCGAGGCUCAACCUCGAGACGCCGAUGGAAACCAUCUGACUAGAGUCCGGAAGAGGAGAGUGGAAUUCCUGGUGUAGCGGUGAAAUGCGCAGAUAUCAGGAAGAACACCCGUGGCUAAGGCGGCUCUCUAGUACGGUACUGACGCUGAGACGCGAAAGCGUGGGGAGCGAACAGGAUUAGAUACCCUAGUAGUCC